rnacentral:rRNA from 1 species
GUGCCAGCAGCCGCGGUAAUACGUAGGGUGCGAGCGUUAAUCGGAAUUACUGGGCGUAAAGCGUGCGCAGGCGGCUCUUUAAGUCAGAUGUGAAAGCCCCGGGCUUAACCUGGGAACUGCGUUUGAAACUGGAGGGCUGGAGUGUGGCAGAGGGAGGUGGAAUUCCACGUGUAGCAGUGAAAUGCGUAGAGAUGUGGAGGAACACCAAUGGCGAAGGCAGCCUCCUGGGCCAACACUGACGCUCAUGCACGAAAGCGUGGGGAGCAAACAGGAUUAGAAACCCCAGUAGUCC